CGAAUUUAGGCAAUAAUGGUGAUAGCUCAUGGAGGGUAAUGAUGAGCUGCAUUAAUUAAGUGUCAAUGGAUAUACUAGACUUAUACAAAUGUGCCCACAAGAGUAUUGUUGUUGGAUUCAGGAUGUACAUAAGGUUAUCAAGAUAAAAAGAAAAUAGUAUAAAAACUUAUCAAUGACAAAAGAUGGAGAGGCCUUUGAGAAAUAUAAGUUGGCAA
rnacentral:misc_RNA from 1 species